GCCAGAUGAAAGCGUAUCAGUAAAUCCAAUGGGCCGUUUUGACAAUCCACUGGUUUUUCUGAUCAACAUCUCAUUCCAAAUACAUCCAACUAUUAGAAUUUAAAUUCCUCAAGGCUGCCACAGUGGGAUUUGAACUCACCUCACUCAGAUUAUUAAUCCAGGCCUCUGAAUUAGUAGUCCUGUGACCUAACUGCUAUGCCACCAUAUUGGAAGCCAUAACUGGAAGUUGUUGCUUUUGGUGCAUAGUUAAUGAAUGAACCAGCGCCGGGCUGGCUCAGGAGGAAUGAGAAAUAUCUGACAACCUUGAACGCCAGUAGUUUACCGCAUGUCAUAUCUUUUCAUCAUGAACAAUGUGGAUUCAAGCCUUACUUCUGGAAUCUAGGUUGAUUCCCCGUGGCAGGACAUAUUGAGUUGGAAAUUGGACUGCUCCCAUUUUCAGGCAGAUUCAUUGAUCUCGCAUUAAGGAUGGAAGCAGUGCCGAAUACGAGGAGGUAAGAUCCUAUUUUGAGAUGGCAGUGGAGGUGAAUCAUGCUGUGAGUUUUCCCAGUUGUGAUCCCGAAAUGUCGCUGACUGUUUCUGGAGGUGUUCUCAGACCAGCAACUAUACAGACACACACACACAAACAUGAAGCUGAUUUGCAAACCUAAGGGGACUGGUGGAGGCGGAGAUAAAGGCACUGUCCCUCCCACCCUGUUACCCAGCCCCUCAGAAAGAUUUGGAUAUACCCGCCCUCCCUUACGAUUGGACAAGCCACCUCUCAUCUCUAUUGGAAGCCAACAUGAUGGAGUCGAUUUUUCAAAGUUUUCUCAACCGUUUAAAGUAUUUGUGCUUUUCACCAUUUUACAGGAAGAGGGCAGUGGUGGAAAGUGAAUUUCACGGGGGGUAAGAGCAGAAAUAAGAUAGACUGGAACCAAAUGUUGGCGGGGAAAGCAGUAGCUGUAGAAUGGGCUAUUUUCAAGGAAGACACAGUUGGGCAAAGCCAAGAAAUAUUCCCUCAAAAAGCCAGGACUAUGUGCUGAGUGAUGCACUAACGCUUGGGGCAGCUGCUGCCAAAACACGGUGGAGCAAGAGGUCUUUCGGCCAAAAUACAAUGACGGUCCAUUCAGUUUUCGGACCCUCCCAGUGCCUCAAAUGCAUGUAAAUUACAGUCUGGUUCAAGAUAUUGAAGGAAAUGAGAGUGAAAAUUGCAAAGGCACCUUUCACUCUUCCUCAGAUUCAGGGGUGGUGCUUGAGGGCCGCAGAAUUGUGAACAUCACAUCACCCUGUUCAAAAAAAUAAUCAGUCAAGCAGUAACAGACCAGUCAAUGAAAUCUGAUUUCUUCUUUGAUCAAGAAAGUGCAAGCCUUUCCUUUGAUCUGACCCUCCAAUUGUGAGCAACUUGAAAUUUCCCUCCCUCUCAAGUUUUGAAAAAUACCUUUUCUUUUAACCUCAAUAAACAUUGCGUGAACUUGAAGCAGCAUCCUGUUGCUAAAACAUU